rnacentral:rRNA from 1 species
UUGGUGCCUUCGGGAACUCUGAGACAGGUGCUGCAUGGCUGUCGUCAGCUCGUGUUGUGAAAUGUUGGGUUAAGUCCCGCAACGAGCGCAACCCUUAUCCUUUGUUGCCAGCGGGUAAUGCCGGGAACUCAAAGGAGACUGCCGGUGAUAAACCGGAGGAAGGUGGGGAUGACGUCAAGUCAUCAUGGCCCUUACGGCCAGGGCUACACACGUGCUACAAUGGCGCAUACAAAGAGAAGCGACCUCGCGAGAGCAAGCGGACCUCAUAAAGUGCGUCGUAGUCCGGAUCGGAGUCUGCAACUCGACUCCGUGAAGUCGGAAUCGCUAGUAAUCGUAGAUCAGAAUGCUACGGUGAAUACGUUCCCGGGCCUUGUACACACCGCCCGUCACACCAUGGGAGUGGGUUGCAAAAGAAGUAGGUAGCUUAACCUUCGGGAGGGC